rnacentral:rRNA from 1 species
GGGUUGUGAGGUUAAGCGACUAAGCGUACACGGUGGAUGCCCUGGCAGUCAGAGGCGAUGAAGGGCGUGCUAAUCUGCGAUAAGCGCCGGUAAGGUGAUAUGAACCGUUAUAACCGGCGAUACCCGAAUGGGGAAACCCAGUGUGAUUCGUCACACUAUCAUUAACUGAAUCCAUAGGUUAAUGAGGCGAACCGGGGGAACUGAAACAUCUAAGUACCCCGAGGAAAAGAAAUCAACCGAGAUUCCCCCAGUAGCGGCGAGCGAACGGGGAGGAGCCCAGAGCCUGAAUCAGCAUGUGUGUUAGUGGAAGCGUCUGGAAAGGCGCGCGAUACAGGGUGACAGCCCCGUACACAAAAGCGCAUGUGCUGUGAGCUCGAUGAGUAGGGCGGGACACGUGGUAUCCUGUCUGAAUAUGGGGGGACCAUCCUCCAAGGCUAAAUACUCCUGACUGACCGAUAGUGAACCAGUACCGUGAGGGAAAGGCGAAAAGAACCCCGGCGAGGAGAGUGAAAAAGAACCUGAAACCGUGUACGUACAAGCAGUGGGAGCACCCUUCGGGGUGUGACUGCGUACCUUUUGUAUAAUGGGUCAGCGACUUAUAUUCUGUAGCAAGGUUAACCGUAUAGGGGAGCCGGAGGGAAACCGAGUCUUAAUUGGGCGUUAAGUUGCAGGGUAUAGACCCGUAACCCGGUGAUUCAGCCAUGGGCAGGUUGAAGGUUGGGUAACACUAACUGGAGGACCGAACCGACUAAUGUUGAAAAAUUAGCGGAUGACCUGUGGCUGGGGUGAAAGGCCAAUCAAACCGGGAGAUAGCUGGUUUCCCCGAAAGCUAUUUAGGUAGCGCCUCGUGAAUUCAUCUCCGGGGUAGAGCACUGUUUCGGCUAGGGGCCAUCCCGGCUUACCAACCCGAUGCAAACUGCGAAUACCGGAGAAUGUUAUCACGGGAGACACACGGCGGGUGCUAACGUCCGUCGUGAAGAGGGAAACAACCCAGACCGCCAGCUAAGGUCCCAAAGUCAUGGUUAAGUGGGAAACGAUGUGGGAAGGCCCAGACAGCCAGGAUGUUGUUGGCUUAGAAGCAGCGAUGAUUUAAUGAAAGCGUUAUUGCUCACUGGUCGAGUCGGCCUGCGCGGAAGAUGUAACGGGGCUAAACCAUGCACCGAAGAUGCGGCAGCGAACGUAUCACCCAAUACUACUUUACGGAGUUGACGAUUGACGGAGCGAAGCGACGUCAAAGCGUUCAUUAAAGUCGAGUUGGCUUAGGGAUACGUUCGUUGGGCAGGGGAGCGUUCUGUAAGCCUGUUAAGGUGUGAGGUCGUGGAGGCAUGCUGGAGUAACGAUAUGAAAAGCUGCGAAUGCUGUCCAACAUCGGGCAACGAUAAGGCGGGUGAAAACGGUUAAUAUUCCCGCUCGCCGGAAGGGGACGGAGAAGGGUUCCUGUCGACGGUUGUCCCGGUUAAUCGGGGGGGCAAAUCCGGUUCACUUUAACACUGAGGCGUGACGACGAGGCACCUACGGUGCUGAAGCAACAAAUUCCCGUACUUGGUGUUACUGCGAAGGGGGACGGAGAAAUGUUGGCCGGGCGACGGUUGUCCCGGUUUAAGUGUAGGUGUGUGUUCAGGUAAACCGGUUCACUUUAAACUGAGGCGUGACGACGAGGCAAACCGAAGCAACAAAGGCUUGGUCAGGUAACAGAGAAUACACAGGUGGUCAGGUAGAGAAUACCAAGGCGCUUGAGAGAACUCGGGUGAAGGAACUAGGCAAAAUGGUGCCGUAACUUCGGGAGAAGGCACGCUGACACGUAGGUGAAGUGAUUUACUCAUGGAGCUGAAGUCAGUCGAAGAUACCAGCUGGCUGCAACUGUUUAUUAAAAACACAGCACUGUGCAAACACGAAAGUGGACGUAUACGGUGUGACGCCUGCCCGGUGCCGGAAGGUUAAUUGAUGGGGUCAGCGUAAGCGAAGCUCCUGAUCGAAGCCCCGGUAAACGGCGGCCGUAACUAUAACGGUCCUAAGGUAGCGAAAUUCCUUGUCGGGUAAGUUCCGACCUGCACGAAUGGCGUAAUGAUGGCAGGCUGUCUCCACCCGAGACUCAGUGAAAUUGAACUCGCUGUGAAGAUGCAGUGUACCCGCGGCAAGACGGAAAGACCCCGUGAACCUUUACUAUAGCUUGACACUGAACAUUGAGCCUUGAUGUGUAGGAUAGGUGGGAGGCUUUGAAGUGUGGACGCCAGUCUGCAUGGAGCCGACCUUGAAAUACCACCCUUUAAUGUUUGAUGUUCUAACGUGGACCCGUAAUCCGGGUUGCGGACAGUGUCUGGUGGGUAGUUUGACUGGGGCGGUCUCCUCCUAAAGAGUAACGGAGGAGCACGAAGGUUGGCUAAUCCUGGUCGGACAUCAGGAGGUUAGUGCAAUGGCAUAAGCCAGCUUGACUGCGAGCGUGACGGCGCGAGCAGGUGCGAAAGCAGGUCAUAGUGAUCCGGUGGUUCUGAAUGGAAGGGCCAUCGCUCAACGGAUAAAAGGUACUCCGGGGAUAACAGGCUGAUACCGCCCAAGAGUUCAUAUCGACGGCGGUGUUUGGCACCUCGAUGUCGGCUCAUCACAUCAUGGUGCAGAAGUAGGUCCCAAGGGUAUGGCUGUUCGACCCUGAGACUUAGAGUCUCCUGAAGGAACGUUGAAGACGACGACGUUGAUAGGCCGGGUGUGUAAGCGCAGCGAUGCGUUGAGCUAACCGGUACUAAUGAACCGUGAGGCUUAACCUUACAACGCCGAAG